GUAAACUAUAUUGUCUGCACAAAUAUCGUCUAAUUGAUCUGUAAAUAUAAUGAGUUAUUAAUAUGCAUUUGUUGGUUGUCUUGUUGAUGGGUAUCUUUAUGUAAAAGACUUACUAGGUACCCAGAAAAAGGGUAGACGAGCCUGGUACAUAGGGAACCCUACCAUGAACGUUACCUCAGUCGAACUGGGCUGGAAAGUCCCUUACCGAAAAGGUUCAGGAGAUAUGGUUCACCCUCAUAUUAGACAAGAUAUCGAGA
rnacentral:lncRNA from 1 species